UACGGGGGGUGCAAGCGUUGUUCGGAUUUAUUGGGCGUAAAGCGCGUGUAGGCGGUUUUAUAAGUCUGAUGUGAAAGCCCUGGGCUCAACCCGGGAAGUGCAUUGGAUACUGUAAGACUUGAAUACGGGAGAGGAGAGUGGAAUUCCUGGUGUAGGAGUGAAAUCCGUAGAUAUCAGGAGGAACACCGGUGGCGAAGGCGGCUCUCUGGACCGAUAUUGACGCUGAGACGCGAAAGCGUGGGUAG
rnacentral:rRNA from 1 species